rnacentral:rRNA from 1 species
AUUCCAGCUCCAAUAGCGUAUAUUAAAGUUGUUGCAGUUAAAAAGCUCGUAGUUGGAUUCCUGGCUCGGGGUAGCCGGUCCGCCUUGCAAAAGGUGCGUACUGUGCGGCCUCGGCCAUCCUUUGGAAAAGCGGCCCUGGCAUUUAGUUGUCGGGGUCGGGCUUCCAAACGUUUACUGUGAAAAAAUCAGAGUGUUCAACGCAGGCUUACGCCUUGAAUACAUUAGCAUGGAAUAAUGAGAUAGGACUUUGGCGGUCUAUUUUGUUGGUUUGUACGCCGAAGUAAUGAUUAACAGGGACGGUUGGGGUUCUUCGUAUUCAAUUGUCAGAGGUGAAAUUCUUGGAUUUAUGGAAGACGAACUGCUGCGAAAGCGUCGAACAAGGACGUUCUCAUCA